CAACAAACAUGAGGAAUGUUGGACAUUUGUGCAAGGAACUGUAAAGAAAAUAAUAAUAAUGGACAAUAUAUCAAGAGCCGCAUUGAACAAAUGUUUCGAUAUUUUUGAUGAUUCACACAGUCAGAAACUUUAUAAUUCAACAAAGUUGUUACUAAAGGAACGGGUACUUUGACUAUUGAGUAUUGUUCAAACCGAAAAUACUGCAAAUCUAUUGGAAAAUUAUCAUGGAAAUUGGCAGAAGUAUUGCAAAAUUAGAAUAAACCUAGAUUACUAGAGUAUCACAACUACAAUAAAAUCAAAUGAUAAGAAACGUAAACUGUCUGAGGCAAAGCAUUUGUAUGGCCACAUUUCACCAGCUUCACCCAGGCAGAUGGAGAUCAGAGAUCUGGGAUGUAUGGGUAAUAUAAGCGUAAUAUGUUCUUACGAUUGAAAGACAGUCUACCCAAAUUAUUAAUUGAUGAGAUAAACAAACUACAACGUAACAUAUCAAUAACCACAAUACCACAACUCCGGGUAUCAUUGUUGCUGUUAUUAACACAUUUUUAGAAGCCCAGGCAUCCAACGAUUGUCCAUUUGAAAGCAUCUAUCAAAGACAGUGGCCCAUCGAUUACUACUAAGCCAUUCCAUAGACCUAGAAGAAGGAUUGAUAAACAAU